rnacentral:rRNA from 1 species
AUUGAACGCUGGCGGCGUGCUUAACACAUGCAAGUCGAACGGAGUUUAUAAGCGGAAGUUUUUGGAUGGAAACUUAUGAACUUAGUGGCGGACGGGUGAGUAACGCGUGGGUAACCUGCCUCAUACAGGGGGAUAACAGUUGGAAACGACUGCUAACACCGCAUAAGCGCACAGUGCUGCAUGGCACAGUGUGAAAAAAUUUAUUGGUAUGAGAUGGACCGGCGUCUGAUUAGCUAGUUGGUGGGGUAAAGGCCUACCAAGGCGACGAUCAGUAGCCGGGUUGAGGGAGUGAACGGCCACAUUGGGACUGAGACACGGCCCAAACUACUACGGGAGGCAGCAGUGGGGAAUAUUGCACAAUGGGGGAAACCCUGAUGCAGCGACGCCGCGUGAGUGAAGAAGUAUUUCGGUAUGUAAAGCUCUAUCAGCAGGGACGAUAAUGACGGUACCUGACUAAGAAGCCCCGGCUAACUACGUGCCAGCCGCCGCAGUAA